GUCGUUCAGCAUGCCUCAAUCUACCACCGACUCUCAGCAGCUCUGUGGUUUUGUCGUAUUCUGGUGACAGGGAUAUAAGACGACUGUUUAACGGAAGCGCACGUCCAACUUUGAGGGCUCUCAAUUCAUCAGCAAAGCAGUCUUCUUGGGCCUUUUGAAGCAUAAGCU